GAUGAACGCUGACAGAAUGCUUAACACAUGCAAGUCUUUGGCGAAGCUGUGCUUGCACAGCCUAGCCAAGGCGGACGGGUGAGUAACGCGUAAGGAACUUGCCCUGCAGUCAGGGAUAACAGACGGAAACGACUGAUAAGACCUGGUAAAGUCAGGCGGACUCAUGUCCAGCCUGAUGAAAAGAGAUGCUGCAGGCGAGCCUUGCGUCCUAUUAGCUUGUUGGUGGGGUAACGGCCCACCAAGGCGAUGAUAGGUAGCCGGCCUGAGAGGGUGGACGGCCACAAGGGGACUGAGAUACGGCCCUUACUCCUACGGGAGGCAGCAGUGGGGAAUAUUGGACAAUGGGGGCAACCCUGAUCCAGCAAUUCUGUGUGCACGAUGAAGGUUUUCGGAUUGUAAAGUGCUUUCAGCAGGGAAGAAAAAAAUGACGGUACCUGCAGAAGAAGCGACGGCUAAAUACGUG
rnacentral:rRNA from 1 species